rnacentral:tRNA from 1 species
GCGGGCGUGGCGGAACUGGUAGACGCGCGGGAUUUAGGUUCCCGUGACGAGAGUCGUGGGGGUUUGAGUCCCUUCGCCCGCACCA